UACGAGGGGGGCAAAUGUUGUUCGGAAUCACUGGGCGUAAAGGGAGCGUAGGCGGGUUUUAAGUCAGGUGUUUAAUCCCGGGGCCCAACCCCGGACAGGCACUUGAAACUGGGAAUCUUGAAUAGUGGAGAGGUCAGUGGAAUUGGGGGUGUAGCGGUGGAAUGGCGUAGGAGAUCCCCAAGAACACCCGUUGCGAAGGCGGCUGACUGGACACAUAUUGACGCUGAGGCUCGAAAGCAUGGGGAGCAAACAGG
rnacentral:rRNA from 1 species